UUUGAUGGUAGCUACCACUUCAAAUUUGUGUCCUCAAGAGUACUUCAAACAUCCACCGAGCAAGGACUAGUCGAAUGAACAUGCUGGAUGGCGCGCGCAAGGUCGGAGAACCCGGUGUCUCUGAUGCUGCUUGGCGUAAUUCCUGUCCGAAAGUUGCAGCCGACUUCCCGUCAGAAACUUCGCCCAUUGCUGUUGACCAGCACGUAGGUUCCGACAGUAGGUGGAGCGACUCAAGGAGCGGCAGAGCUCCCUCUUCGAUUUCCAGCUCAUUCAUGACUUCCACCACGAUGCAUAGGUGUCUCAGGCUUUCGAGUGCACCUUCUAUGAUGACAAGCUUGUCCAGUUGAGAUGCGAUCAACUUCAGGUAUGCCAAGCAGCGCACUCUGCUCAGGGCAGAAAGAAUAUCCCUGGUCAGCUGAUAAUGUGGGAAUGAAAGGCACAGUUUAGUGAGACUGCCCAGCAUUGUAAUAAAUGGAGGCAGGCUGCAUAUAUUGUUCCCAUGUAGCUUCAGUGAGCUAAGAUAGCAGCUUGGCGAGGAAUCUUGUUUUUCCAGGGAGAAAUUCAGCAAGUCUUGAGAACAUCCAUCAGCGUAAUUCAGUGAGAGUGAAUGAGCUUUUUUCAAGUCGGUGCUUCUCUUGAUAAACCCUUUAAUGGCAUCAGAUAGACAACUCAAGUAUCGGCGCAUUGCAAUGGGAUCCGUAAUACUAUUAGUGGAUUGCUCGUACCAUAUUUUCACCUUUGUCAAGUGUUUCAUAUGCUCCAUGAGCUGUUCAAAUCCUUGGCUAUUGUUGUUGCUGUCCACAACAAAUCCUGCCACAGUUUCCAAUUUGCUACUCUCUGAGAACCAAGUCUGUAGCUUGAGCAUUUUCCGGCGUCCUACACCAUGUUGCAGUUUGAACUUUCCAAACAGAUGAAUCAGGCAUGGAAGCUUAAUGACUUCAGUGGGCAGAAUCUCUAUUUGUGUUCUUCUUACAUCUAGUGUCUCCAAGAAUCGAAGCUUCUUGAUCUCCUUUGGAAGUGCCUUAACAGCGGACCCGAGGCUUAGAUACCUGAGCAACAACAGGUUCCUGCAUAUCUCUUUGACAUGCUUGUCCUCCAACUGGUUACCGCAUUCUUCUAGAUCCAGAACUCGCAGCAGUUCAUACUUUGAAAAAUCUAAGACAGAUUUGUGCGCACUGCCAAAGACUGUCAGACACCGGACAAGAGAUAGAUCAUUGGCUGCUACGCUGGCACUUGCAUCAUGCACAGAAAGCCAGCGGAUUUUGCUGGUUGGGGUUGGGGGAGCCAGCUGAUCAUAUAACAAGGUAAUGAAGUUUUCACACUUGGACAUGUGCACGAUGAACUCAAGCAUCAUGCCGUGAGUAUGGUAUGUCUUCACCUCUGUGCUGUUUUUGCUCCUGCUGGCACCUUGAUCUGUAGGUUGGAUGAUACUCCGGUUGACCAGCUCAUUGAAAUUGCCGAUAGCGGCAUCCAAGGCGCUACAUAUAUAAUCACCUUUGAUAAACCCUUCAGCUAACCAUUUCCUUAUGAGGCUUCUUCUCCUGACCUUACGACCACUUGGGUAGAUACCUAAAUAUAGCAGACAUGUCUUGAGAUCAUGUUUAACAAGGCUGGUAUAGCUAUGAACAAGCACAUGCUUAAGUCUUGCUAACAUCUCAUUUGUUUCCAGAUGUGCUCCAAGGUUGUGGCACAAUUUUGCCCAGUUUUCCCGUGUCGGAUUAUCUGUGCUUUGCAAGUACCGGGCAGUGGUAACAAGAGCAAGGGGUAGACCGUCACACUUCUGCAGCGCUUCUGAGCCAAGCUGAUCCUCCCGAUCGUCAUCUUGGCCCAAAGAUUCCUUGUAGAAUAACCUUCUUGAGCAUGUCUCGGAUAUUCACUUUGAUGGAAGCCAUAGAUUUACGGACCUUAUUCUUGACCAAGGUAAGCACUUCUGUCUAUUAUUUGCUUCGUUGACAUUUUUUCUAACUGUAAACUGUAUAGUUAAUAACUCAAAAUGUUAUACCCGCUUUUCUAAGUUGGUCUCAUUAGUGUACCAUACAACUUAAAUGGUCUGUUGCCUUCAGAAACAAUAGGGCUCAUUGGCAGGAAUGUAAUUGUUGCACGCUCAAUCGUAUAAAUAGAGAGCCACCCUUCCCGUUUAAAGGGUUGGUACUCGCUAGUCACCCCACUGCAUUUCUCCCUACUUCGCCGAGUUUGGCCACAUGUGACGUCGAUGACGAGAGACAACGCUAAGACUGAUGUUGCGAUGCAAACGACGCGACACUACAACGAGACAACCUACUCCAUGGGAUGGCAUAGAAUAUUUCUCUAGGGUACUCUUGAAAGGAUGGAAAUACGACUAGCCUUAUUUUAGGAUGAAUGGUAAUAAUCUAACCUGCUUAAGAGCAGGAGUGUAAUUACCGCAAGCUCAGAUCCUAUAAAUACAGAACCACGUCAGGCUUUAUGAAGUUUCAAAGGGCAAUUCUCUAGUCACCUCGCUAAAGUAUACACCUCUCACCCCUUAGGGUGAAUUUGGCUAAGUGUUGGCCAUACAACUACAAAAAACAUUUCUAAGUCACCACCAAGAACCACCUGAUCAGAACACAAGCUCUAUGCAAGUACAAAGGGGAUAAGAAGAUCUUGGUCAGAGAGCAAUCAAUAUUGACUGAAAAAUAACUAUCUAAGCUAGUCAUUCUUACCAGAUCCCUUUGAGUAAAUUACCAAUGGUUGAAAACAUACCUCUUGGUCCCAAGGUGAGAUCUUAGGAGUUCGCAGGGGUUGCUGG